GCUAAUUUGUGUUCUCUGCACUGUGAAGAUCAUAUGUGAUGCUGCCAACAUUAUCACAAAUAUGGAAGCCAACUGCUCAGCCUCUGUGAGUGGUGGUGGUGGACGACCUCUACCUGUUUUUCGGGCCUCCGCUUUUUUUUCUGUUGGCUAUAACGGGUCACAUUUGAGCAUACAGAGUAAGCAAAUAUGUACUUGUAAUGUGCUCAGAUAAUUUCAAUAAGUGCUUACAGAGGGGAAAUUAAUGUAGCCUCUAACUGCAAUUGAUUUACAUCGGACAAACAGACCAAGCACUAUGGCUCAUAAUACAAUUACACCUUACCUGUUUGGACUAUAUUUUUAUAUUUCAUUUUUACUUGCUGCCAGGAACAUUGGGGGCCUGUUGGGUUGCACCUGCGCUCACAUCACAUCACGAAAUAAAAUGUAUGAAAUAAAAAAAAUAAAAUAAAAUAAAAUAAAAUAACGUGUUGAAUGGGUGGAAAUCCCUAGAUCAAUGUUUAAAUUAACACUCACGCAUUGACUCUGUCGGCUAUGUUUUGCCAUGCAUGCUCCCUUUCUUUUGCAGCUGAGGCUGUGUUACUUUUUUUCCGCGAAAUUUGCAUGUUAUCGGCAUAUGCUGCCAUCAGAAUUUCGGCCUCAAGCGCUGUAAAAUACAUUGACCGCGCCUUCUUUCCCUCCGUCUCCAUGGUGACUCGCUUAAUCUGUGCUCCACUAAUCAGGGCUUUAUGUAUCCUCGUGCGCGCGUUUAACUUGGGGUUAAAGCAACUCCGCGUUGACUGAACUAAUUGUUAUCAGCCUUUCUGAAACCGAAUAUUCCGAGUUGGACAGUUCGGGGUUACUCAACCCUGAGUAUCGUUUUUCACUCUGAGUUUUCUAAACCGGCUUCCUGAAAUAGGGCCCUGCUCGCAAAAUAAAACAAACUAAAAACAAACCAACAAACACGAAAACACUAUACUUUAUGAUACAGACUUAUAAUUUGCAAGUGAGCGCGAGAGCCCUCUGUGCGCCUGCUUGCUGCUGUGCUGAAGUCAAUGUAAACUUUAUUGUCAUCUCCGCUAUAUACAGUCCAGUAUAUAGAGAGAUGAGACGACGAGGCCCCAGUUGCAGAAGUGCAAUUAAACAAACAAUAAAUAUAAAAAGAUUAAGAAAAUAAAUAUACACUUUAGGACCAGGGGUAAACGGAUCAAUAACAAUUUAAAAUUUAUAAUUUACAGUUUGAUGAUUUAAAGUCUCACACAACCCGUCGAAAGGGGAGGGGG
ensembl:lncRNA